ensembl:lncRNA
CUAUUUGUUAACUUACAAUUCUAUAGACGGACAACUGAGCUUGGAUCGCUGAAUGGUAAUCUGCUGGUCUCAUCUGGCCUCACUAGUGACUUAUGAAUCCUGGCUAUGGAAGAAACAGCUGUUUCUGGUUGCUGAUUUAUAACAUAACAUGGAAGCCAUGACUCAAGCCCCUGAAAGUGUUGUCACCCAGCUGGUGUUAUGACUGAGACCUCAAAGCCAUUUUGCCAUUCUACCAGGUCAGUUGCUGAUGGACAAUGGGGAACAUGGUACAGCCAGUGAAUUCCAUGAAGGAGCAGGAGCGAGCCAGCACCAGGAAAGACCCCACCCACCUGGGAGGAACUGUGAAGAAUUUGAAUGAGCCUUACAAAACCUUUGCUCUUGAAACACCUGAGCUCCACCUGAGCUGGAAAUUCACGGCAUGAUAUUAAGAUAAAAAAUUAGGAGCAGCACUAUAAUUCUUUUCCAGCCCAUGACAUGUUCAGAAUGAAGCAGGUAUUUAAUGAUAUCUAUAGAGAUGAAUCAAGUUUUCUAACAGAAAAAAACUCCAAGUGAGAGCAUGAAAACAUUAAUUAUACAACAUAAGUGUCUCCAAUAUUGCUUCUGCUUGCACUGGAAAGAAAAAAAGCCAUUAUAUAUCAUUCAAGUGAAGGGACUUUGUGUGUCUAUUAUAAGACUAUAUUCUAUUUUCAGUCCCAAAAUUGCCUAUUUUAUGAAAAAUGGAGACUGGGGUCAGAUCAUUUAAUGAGUAUGUAUUUAAUGUAUCCUGUGAAAUGAUUGCUUUAAGCGUUAACAGGUGUUUCUGAGCAAGUGUGAAGUAAUGCUUGGUUCUACCUUUUCUCCUGGCUCCAUUGCAUAUCUUCUCCAUCUACUCACUUUUGUUCUGUUCCAUGUACUGUCUGUCUGUUUCUCUCUAUACAUAUACAUAUACACGUAUGUACGUACACACACACACACACUCACUCACUCUCACCCAGGUGACUUUAAGAUAAAACACAGCUCAUGGAGCUGCCAUCAUUUCCAGCUUCUCAAAUUAAUACAUUCUUCUCAAGCUUCUUAAAACAAGGUGGCUGACACUGUGGGGAAAAUUCCAAGGACUCCUGAAAGGAGUGGGACCUGGUUGAGCCACUGGGUGGAUCAUCUCUUCCUCGUUGCAUUUUGGUUAUCUUUUGAAUUGUUUUUCUACCAGGCAAUGUAAUAUAGAUUUGUAAAUCAGUAUAAUACUUCCCUUAGGAAUCUUUGAUGUCAUCAUAACCAUUUGAUGAAAAUAAUUGUUUAAAGAUGGAAAGUUUUCACUCAUAUUAAAUUAACCAUUCAUAGGAAUAUAUUUGAUGUAUUUCAUGUUAAUGUUUGUGCAAAGUUAAAAAAUAGCAGCCAAAUGAGUACUGAAACUCAGACCAGAAUGGUAUUUCAAAAGUGUGACUGCUGCAAAAUUAGUAUAGUUUUUUCCCCCAAAGCGAGAGUUAAGGUACAAGUGCCACUUUUGUAUUUAAAAUUUUUUUCAUCAUUUUUCACCUUGGAAUUAUCAUAAGUAUUAUUUUCUUUUGUUUGACUUAAUGACAGUGUAUCCUCUUCAGUGUUAAGGAUGUUCAAGGUUCUUUUUUAUAAUAAUACAGAGAAUUAUUCAAUAUUGUGGAGUAAGGAAAAUUGGUUGCUUUAUCUGCAAACAGAAUUCACAGGGACUAGUGUGCUCUACUGGUCACUGUGUUUUUGCCCUGAGAUUUUUAAAAAAAUAAGUAGUAGACUUUAUUUUUUUAGUAGUUUUUGAUGUGCAUAAAAAUUGAGCAGAAAGUACAGAGAGUUCCCAUAUAACUGCUCACAACCCUCCGACCCCCCAGUUUUCCCUAGUAACAUCUUGCACUGGUGUGGUACACUUGUUACAAUUGAUGAGCCAAUAUUGAUAUAUUGCUAACUAAAGUUCAUAGUUUGACUCCAAUCUUUGGGUUUUACAUUCCAUAGGUUUUGACAACUUUGUAAUGACACGUAUCCAUGAUUACAGGACACAGAAUAGUUUCACUGCCCUGAGUUCCACUUAUUUGUUGUUCCCUCCCUCCAACCACCCCUGGCAACCGUUGAUCCCUUUACUGUCUCCAUAGCUUUGCCUUUUCCAGAAUGUCAUAUGGUUGGAAUCACAGAGUAUAUAGUCUUUCCAGAUUGGCUUCUUUCACUUAGUAAUAUGCAUUUAAGCUUCCUCCACGUCUUUCCAGAGCUUGAUAGCUCAUCUUCUUUUAGCACUGAAUAAUAUUCCAUUGUUUGAAUGUUCCACAGUUUAUCCGUUCAUCUACUGAAGGACACAUUGGUUGCUUCUGAGUUUUGGCAUUUAUAAAUAAAGUUGCUAUAAACAUCCAUGUGCAGGUUUUUGUGUGGAUAUAAGUUUUGAACUCCUUUGAGUAAAUAGCAAAGAGUAUGAUUGCUGGAUCAUAUGGGGAGAGUAUGUUUGGUUUUGUAAGAAACCACCAAACUGUCUUCCCAAGUGGCUUCACCAUUUUGCAUUCCCACCAACAAUGAAUGAGAGUUCCUGUUGCUCCAGGAAACGUUUGAUUUCAUGAUGGUUUCAUUUGGCACAAAUGGAGUUUUUAGUGAGACAUGAAAAAUGACUAACAAAAUUAAAAAGACUUGACUGUGAAAAAUGAAAUUACAAAAUAUUUGAAUCUAAAUAUUUCAAUAUAUAAAUGUAUGUAGAUUCAUGGCAAUACUGGUCAAAGAGCUGAUUUUAUUUUGUGGAUUAUUACCUAAACAUUUCAUCUUCCGAGUCUUUCAUUCAUAGUAUUAUACAUUUUCUAUUUUUGCUGGUUGAUUUGUCUCCUCAUUCAGCAUCACACUUUUUUUCACUAAAAUGUCUUCCUUCAUUAAGAGAGGUAUCAGUUUUAUCCAAAUACUAGAAUGCAUAUUUGUAAC